rnacentral:rRNA from 1 species
CAUGGGAGACACACAGCGGGUGCUAACGUCCGUUGUGGAAAGGGAAACAACCCAGAUCGCCAACUAAGGUCCCAAAAUUACAGCUAAGUGGGAAACGAAGUGAGAAGUCAAAGACAGCCAGGAGGUUGGCUUAGAAGCAGCCAUCCUUUAAAGAAAGCGUAAUAGCUCACUGGUCAAGCCGACUUGCGCGGAAGAUUUAACGGGGCUUAAGCUGUAUACCGAAGUUGCGAAUGCUUAUUUUUUAAUAAGCGUGGUAGGGGAGCGUUCUGUAAGUCAAUGAAGGCAUAUUGUGAGAUAUGCUGGAGAUAUCAGAAGUGAGAAUGCUGACAUGAGUAACGAUAAUGCGGGUGAAAAACCCGCACGCCGAAAACCCAAGGGUUCCUGCGCAACGUUAAUCGACGCAGGGUUAGUCGGUACCUAAGGCGAGACCGAAAGGUGUAGUCGAUGGACAACAGGUUAAUAUUCCUGUACCGCGUAUACUGCGAUGGGGGGACGGAGAAGGCUAAGCUUACCGGGUGUUGGUUAUCCCGGGGAAAGUAUGUAGGUAGAGAACUUUGGAAAAUCCGGGUUCUUAUUACUGAGAUACGAGACCAUUGAUUUUUUAAUCAAGAAGUAGCUGAUGCCAUGCUUCCAAGAAAAGCCUCUAAGCUUCAGGUAUUACGCGACCGUACCCCAAACCGACACAGGUGGGUGGGAUGAGAAUUCUAAGGCGCUUGAGAAAACUCUGGUGAAGGAACUAGGCAAAUUGGUACCGUAACUUCGGAAGAAGGUACGCCUCUGUUGGUGAUUGAACUUGCUUCAUGAGCUGAUGGAGGUCUCAGAAACCAGGUGGCUGCGACUGUUUAAUAAAAACACAGCACUCUGCUAACUCGUAAGAGGAUGUAUAGGGUGUGACGCCUGCCCGGUGCCGGAAGGUUAAUUGAUCGAGUUAGCCCUUUUGGGCGAAGCCCGUGAUCGAAGCCCCGGUGAACGGCGGCCGUAACUAUAACGGUCCUAAGGUAGCGAAAUUCCUUGUCGGGUAAGUUCCGACCUGCACGAAUGGCGUAACGAUGGCCACACUGUCUCCACCAGAGACUCAGUGAAAUUGAAAUAGCUGUGAAGAUGCAGUUUAAACGCGGCAAGACGGAAAGACCCCGUGCACCUUUACUACAGCUUUACAUUGGAUUUUGAAUCUGUUUGUGCAGGAUAGGUGGGAGGCUAUGAAGCAUAUGCGUCAGCAUAUGUGGAGCCAUCCUUGAAAUACCACCCUGACAUAUUUGAAGUUCUAACCUCGACCCGUUACCCGGGUUAGGGACAUUGUAUGGUGGGUAGUUUGGCUGGGGCGGUCUCCUCCUAAAGAGUAACGGAGGAGCACAAAGGUUCUCUCAGCGCGGUCGGUAUCGCGCACUAAGAGUGCAAAGGCAUAAGAGAGCUUGACUGCGAGACAGACAUGUCGAGCAGGAGCGAAAGCUGGUCUUAGUGAUCCGGUGGUUCUGUAUGGAAGGGCCAUCGCUCAACGGAUAAAAGGUACGCCGGGGAUAACAGGCUAAUUCCUCCCAAGAGUUCACAUCGACGGAGGAGUUUGGCACCUCGAUGUCGGCUCAUCACAUCCUGGGGCUGUAGCAGGUCCCAAGGGUAUGGCUGUUCGCCAUUUAAAGUGGUACGCGAGCUGGGUUUAGAACGUCGUGAGACAGUUCGGUCCCUAUCUGCCGUGUUCGUUGGAAACUUGAAGGGAGCUGCUCCUAGUACGAGAGGACCGGAGUGGACGUACCCCUGGUGUUCCGGUUGUCACGCCAGUGGCACUGCCGGGUAGCUAUGUACGGAAGGGAUAACCGCUGAAAGCAUCUAAGCGGGAAGCCCACCCUAAGAUAAGGUUUCCCUGGAUCCUUGAGAUCCCUGAAGGGCCAUCAAAGACUAUGAUGUUGAUAGGUCGGGUGUGGAAGCUCAGUAAUGAGUGUAGCUAACCGAUACUAAUUACCCGUGAGGCUUGGUCAU